AGGCCUGUAGCUCAAUUGGCCAGAGCACCGGUCUCCAAAACCGGGGGUUGGGGGUUCGAGUCCCUCCAGGCCUG
rfam:Candidate division KSB1 bacterium 4484_188 ex4484_188_scaffold_48492, whole genome shotgun sequence.